AUGCCAGAUAGCUGGAUGGACGUGCUCUCCUGGCUGCUCUGGCCCCAUCUGUUUGCGAUGGUCAGACAGUCCUGGGGCAGUUCAUCUGCAGAGGUGGUAUCUGAUGACCGACUUGGUGGCCUCGGACGUGGCAUACUUGCCGAGCUCCCCAGGCAACAGAAGACGCACAGAUGUCUGGAUGUCUUCGGUCAUGAUGGUGCAGCGCUUGUUGCUGUGGGCCAGGCGCCCGGCCUCUUCGGCAAUCCGCUCGAACAUAUCUUUCACAAACGAAUCCAGGACGUUCACGGACUCACGGGAAAGACUCAGGCCUGUAUGUACUUGCUUCAGCACCCUAGGGAAAUAGGUAGCAAAGCUUGAGAAAUUGCCCUGACGGCAGCGGCGGCGACGGCAACGGCAACGGCGGCCCUUAGCUGUCUUCUGCUUCGCCUUUUUUGGUUCCGCAUCAUUCGGCUCUGGUUUGGAGGUCUCUGCUUUCACCAUCUCCGUUUCAGAGGGCUCAGUUUCGGAGGUGCUGGUGUCUAUGGUGAUCACGUCUUCCUCAUGGCUGUCAGAGGAUGGUUCCAACACGGCAGCGCCACCAUUCUCCAUAGCGCAGCCCAGAAGAACAGUGAGGUCGUUGAAGGCCGUUGGCCGAAUUUAUAGGCCCGGCUUUCCCUGACGUCACAGACACUGUCCAUCUCUGAUUGGAUGCAAGGCAGGGAGGCCUGUUACUAUGGCAGCCCAUGUCCCGUGACACCUGACGUCCCACCUCCCAACUCCUGCCCUGCCCCUCCCCCAUGUUUAACCCCCAGUCAGCCCAUCUGCCCUGGUGGCUCUGACGGUAAUGUGUCUGUCUACAAUGCGGGAUACCUGGGUUCGAUCCCUGGGUCGAGAAGAUUCGGUGGAGAAGGAAAUGGCAACCCCCUCCAGUACUCUUGUCUAGAAAAUCCCAUGGACGGAGGAGUCUGGUGUCCAUGGGGUCGCAAAGAGUCGGACACGACUGAACAACUUCACUUUCACUUUCAGCCAAUCUCAGUGAAAGUCACCUAAUUUGGAAAAUGAAAUAAUCAGUAAAAGCUUCCUGAGAGAGUAUGACAGACCUCCAUAGCUCCAGCUCUUUCAGGCAUCAGAGUGACUCAGGUCACUUGGUGGACAUUUUACUCCAACACAGAAUCUUCUCGUGGUUGACCUACAGUGGCAUGAGCAGAAUGUCCUGGCUUCCCCAGCAGAGUGCUCCUGAAAAUCAUAGGAAUGUAAUGAACAGCUAUUAUCUCCAGUAUUUAUCUAAACCAAUGAUCAGUAUGAAGAGAAUGACAAAAUCCCAUUCUCCAAAUACAGAACACAAACAGAAGUAGGAAUCCUUACACAUACACACUAAAAAUAUGUAACAUUUUGCAAAUUAUAAAUUGUUUUCUUAAACCUUAUUCCUGGCGGCUCAGAGGUUAAAGCGUCUGCCUGCAAUGCAGGAGCCCUGGGUUUGAUCCCUUGGUCGGGAAGAUCCCCUGGAGAAGGAAAUGACAACCCACUUCAUUAUUCUUGCCUGGAGACUCCCAUGGAAGGAGCAGCCUGGUGGACUACAGUCCACGUGGUCACAAAGAGUCAGACACGACUGAGCGAAUUCACUUCAAACCUUAUUUAGGUCCCCCAAAUACCACACAUACUGGAACUGAUUAAUGAUUUAUAGUGGUUAUUUCUCAAAAAAUGAUCACUCUUAUUGCUGAAAAGCCACUAGGGUGAGAGAAAAUGAAUUUAAAAAGAGAGAAAUAGAACAGCUAGAAAUAAACGUACCUGUUAUGCCCAAGUUGCGAAAUCUCCCAAUGACCACCAGGGAGCCAAUAUCUGAUGCAAAAGCAAGAUAGUUUUUAUUACCAAGCUCGAGCUGGGGCGCCCACCUUUACCAACACAGCGGCUAAGGAGAGGAGCCCGGAACUCUGGGUUACAUUGCUUAUAUAGGGUAUUCUCGUGUGAAAAUUUCGAAAAACGGGAGUUUCCGGAUUGGGAGACGUCUAAUUGGUUACCUUUUGUGGAAGGGUUAGGUGUUGGGUUCUGAUUGGUUUCAUUUCCCAGGCUGGCCACAGGUUCUGAUUAGUUCCCAUUUCCCGGGGUUAAUUCAAAUUUCCUGGGCAGGUCAUAAGUCCUGAACAUAAAGUCAGGAGAUCCUAAUUUGGGAUCUGAUUGGCUUGCAGGUAGUGGGGUGAGGUCAGGGGAUUUCCAAAGACUCUUUCCUCAGAACUCUAAAAUGGAGUCUUUUUAACAAAAUGGGGUGGCUUAUGUUCUUCAUACCAAAAAAGAAAGUGAAGAGGAACUAAAAAGCCCCUUGAUGAAAGUGAAAGAGGAGAGUGAAAAGUUGGCUUAAAGCUCAACAUUCAGAAAAUGAAGAUCAUGGCAUCCAGUUCCAUCACUUCAUGGGAAAUAGAUGGGGAAACAGUGUAAACAGUGUCAGACUUUAUUUUGGAGAGGCUCCAAAAUCACUGCAGAUGGUGACUGCAGCCAUGAAAUUAAAAGAUGUUUACUCCUUGGAAGAAAAGUUAUGACCAACCUAGACAGUAUAUUCAAAAGCAGACAUUACUUUGCCGACUAAGGUCCAUCUAGUCAAGGCUAUGGUUUUUCCAGUAGUCAUGCAUGGACCUGUAUGAAAUUAGAAAAUAAUUACAUAAAGAAAAUGCAAAAACCACAAACACAUGGAGAGAAAAGAAUAUGAUAGGAAAAAAAACCAAUGGAUCAGUGAAGAAAUCAAAG
rnacentral:tRNA from 1 species